UACGUAGGGUGCAAGCGUUGUCCGGAAUUAUUGGGCGUAAAGAGCUCGUAGGCGGUUCGUCGCGUCGGCUGUGAAAACCCGAGGCUCAACCUCGGGCCUGCAGUCGAUACGGGCAGGCUAGAGUUCGGUAGGGGAGAUCGGAAUUCCUGGUGUAGCGGUGAAAUGCGCAGAUAUCAGGAGGAACACCGGUGGCGAAGGCGGAUCUCUGGGCCGAUACUGACGCUGAGGAGCGAAAGCGUGGGGAGCGAACAGG
rnacentral:rRNA from 1 species